ACCCUGCUGGAGCCCGGGGGCACCUCCAGCCCCCCGGGGGUCCCUGCGCCUCCUCUGCCGCGGCUCCGGGUUCAGUUUUGGCAGUUUUGGGAUGGGCUGGAUGCGCCAGAGACCCGGGCAGGGGCUGGAAUGGGUCGCAGGGAUUGACUACGAUGGAGAAACCGAGUACGCGCCCUCGGUGCAGGGCCGGUUCACGAUCUCCAGGGACAACGGGCAGAACUCGGUGACGCUGACCAUGAACAGCCUCAGGGACGAGGAUUCCGGAUCCUAUUUCUGCGCCAAAGCUGCUGGUGCUGGUGCUGCUAAUGGUGCUGGUUUUAUUGACGGUGCCCGUGCUCUCCCCAUCCCCAUCCCCGGGUUUGGGGAGCUCGGUUGA